rnacentral:rRNA from 11 species
UGACCGAUAGUGAACCAGUACCGUGAGGGAAAGGUGAAAAGAACGCCGAGAAGGCGAGUGAAAUAGUACCUGAAACCGUGUGCUUACAAGCGGUCGGAGCUGCAUUUAUGCAGUGACGGCGUGCCUUUUGUAUAAUGAGCCUACGAGUUACUCCUGUUGUGCGAGGUUAAGCCCCUGAGGGGUGGAGCCGCAGCGAAAGCGAGUCUGAAUAGGGCGUGAAGUUAGACGGAUUAGACCCGAAACCGAGUGAUCUAGGUAUGAGCAGGCUGAAGGUAAGGUAACACUUACUGGAGGACCGAACCCACAUCCGUUGAAAAGGGUGGGGAUGAGGUGUGGAUAGGGGAGAAAUUCCAAUCGAACCCGGAGAUAGCUGGUUCUCCUCGAAAGCUAUUUAGGUAGCGCC